rnacentral:rRNA from 1 species
GAGGAAUAUUGGUCAAUGGGCGCAAGCCUGAACCAGCCAAGUAGCGUGAAGGAUGACUGCCCUAUGGGUUGUAAACUUCUUUUAUAUGGGAAUAAAGUUUUCCACGUGUGGAUUUUGUAUGUACCAUAUGAAUAAGGAUCGGCUAACUCC